rnacentral:rRNA from 1 species
GAUGAACGCUAGCUACAGGCUUAACACAUGCAAGUCGAGGGGUAACGAGAGGAAAGCUUGCUUUCCUUGUCGACGACCGGCGCACGGGUGAGUAACGCGUAUCCAACCUGCCCCCAACUAGGGAAUAACCUUGCGAAAGUAAGACUAAUACCCUAUAAUUUCCUCAGAUGUCAUCUGACGAGGAAUAAAGAUUUAUCGGUUGUGGAUGGGGAUGCGUCUGAUUAGCUUGUUGGCGGGGUAACGGUCCACCAAGGCAACGAUGAGUAGGGGUUCUGAGAGGAAGGUCCCCCACAUUGGAUCGAAGACACGGGCCAAACUCCUACGGGAGGCAGCAGUGAGGAAUAUUGGUCAAUGGGCGGAAGCCUGAACCAUCCAAGUAGCGUCCAGGAUGACGGCCCUAUGGUUUGUAAACUGCUUUUAUACAGGAAUAAAGUUAGCCACGUGUGGUUAUUUGUAGGUACUGUAUGAAUAAGGACCGGCUAAUUCCGUGCCAGCCGCCGCCGUAA